CAGUCGCCACGGUAAUACGAAGGGUGCAAGCGUUACUCGGAAUUACUGGGCGUAAAGCGUGCGUAGGUGGUGGUUUAAGUCCGUUGUGAAAGCCCUGGGCUCAACCUGGGAAUUGCAGUGGAUACUGGGUCACUAGAGUGUGGUAGAGGAUAGUGGAAUUUCCGGUGUAGCAGUGAAAUGCGUAGAGAUCGGAAGGAACAUCUGUGGCGAAGGCGACUAUCUGGGCCAACACUGACACUGAGGCACGAAAGCGUGGGGAUCAAACAGGAUUAGAUACCCCUGUAGUCCCUGUCUCUUAUAA
rnacentral:rRNA from 1 species